AGUGAACGCUGGCGGUAGGCCUAACAUAUGCAAGUCGAACGGCAGCACAGUAAGAGCUUGCUCUUACGGGUGGCGAGUGGCGGACGGGUGAGGAAUACAUCGGAAUCUACUUUUUCGUGGGGGAUAACGUAGGGAAACUUACGCUAAUACCGCAUACGACCUACGGGUGAAAGCGGGGGAUCUUCGGACCUUGCGCGAUUGAAUGAGCCGAUGUCGGAUUAGCUAGUUGGCGGGGUAAAGGCCCACCAAGGCGACGAUCCGUAGCUGGUCUGAGAGGAUGAUCAGCCACACUGGAACUGAGACACGGUCCAGACUCCUACGGGAGGCAGCAGUGGGGAAUAUUGGACAAUGGGCGCAAGCCUGAUCCAGCCAUACCGCGUGGGUGAAGAAGGCCUUCGGGUUGUAAAGCCCUUUUGUUGGGAAAGAAAAGCAGCAGGUUAAUACCCCGCUGUUCUGACGGUACCCAAAGAAUAAGCACCGGCUAACUUCGUG
rnacentral:rRNA from 1 species